UACGAAGGGGGCUAGCGUUGCUCGGAAUCACUGGGCGUAAAGCGCACGUAGGCGGAUUGCUAAGUCAGGGGUGAAAUCCUGGAGCUCAACUCCAGAACUGCCUUUGAUACUGGCGAUCUUGAGUCCGGGAGAGGUGAGUGGAACUGCGAGUGUAGAGGUGAAAUUCGUAGAUAUUCGCAAGAACACCAGUGGCGAAGGCGGCCAACUGGUCCGAUACUGACGCUGAGGCGCGAAAGCGUGGGGAGCAAACAGG
rnacentral:rRNA from 1 species